rnacentral:rRNA from 1 species
AACGAACGCUGGCGGCAGGCCUAACACAUGCAAGUCGAGCGCCCAGCAAUGGGAGCGGCAGACGGGUGAGUAACGCGUGGGAACCUUCCCGAUAGUACGGAAUAGCUCAGGGAAACUUGAGGUAAUACCGUAUACGCCCGCAAGGGGAAAGAUUCAUCGCUAUCGGAUGGGCCCGCGUAGGAUUAGCUAGUUGGUGAGGUAAUGGCUCACCAAGGCGACGAUCCUUAGCUGGUGAGAGAAUGACCAGCCACACUGGGACUGAGACACGGCCCAGACUCCUACGGGAGGCAGCAGUGGGGAAUCUUGGACAAUGGGCGCAAGCCUGAUCCAGCCAUGCCGCGUGAGUGACGAAGGUCUUCGGAUUGUAAAGCUCUUUUGCCAGGGACGAUAAUGACGGUACCUGGAGAAUAAGCCCCGGCUAACUUCGUGCCAGCCGCCGCAGUAAC